CCCGGCUCUGUUAUGUAAACAUAGAGUAAAGGGGACGGGGCCGCUCUUAAAGGGGCCGCGCUGAGGCGAUGCUGUUUUUCUGCCAUUCCUGGUGAAGAGGUGAAAUGGAAAAAGCCAGCCAAUCUCACAGGGCUGCGGAAUGGAGAUCUUCCCAGGGGCUGUGCGAAGAAGACAAGGUUUUAUUAAAGACAGAGAGCUGAAUUAUUACGGAUUUAUCUUCUUCGUUGCCCUAACAAAAUAGAAAAGAAAGCCAAGCUCACUUUUUGGAGACUUUCUUACCGAAGCACUGAUUUUCUUCCUGCAUCUCCCAAGGACCAAAAACUCUCAGCACCAAAAACCUGCUUUUAAUUUGCUGGUGAGAGCAACGAGGUAGAGAUGGAGCGAGGAGCUGCCCCACAUCCCCUACAGUCACAGCUGCAGAUCUAUUGAAAUAAGGGAGAAAUGUAUCUACAGCCACGUUUGCACAGGGAAGUGGUGGAGUCGUCGUCCCUGGAGGUGUUUAAGCAUCAUAGAGAUGUGGCACAGGGGGAUGUGGUCUGUGGGCAUGGUGAGGAAUGUCUCCACAUGGCAGCUUUUUUGGGGAGCAUCCUCCAGCUUUCUCACAGCAGCUUCCUGGUGCACCUUUCAGCAGGAAUAUCCAGCAAAGCCAGGAAGGCAUUCAAAUCAGUGUCCAAAGAAGAAUCCUGAACACGAAGAAAUAGUGCAUACCCAUUUGUUUUUAAAAUGUGAUUUAAAAAUAUAUAUUUAAAAUACAGGAAGAUUAAUAAGGCUGUAAUUCAGCAAAGUGCUUACAGAUGUGCUGGGCUCAAAGUAAUUCAGCGCUUUCAUGAUUCAGGACUUAGGGAGUGAGCUUGAAAUACAGCAAAAGUACUGAAAGACAUAAUUUGCUGUUGUACCUGAGGCUUGUGUUGCACACAAAGCCGACAGGACACACAUCAGGUCUGGUGAUAUACAGGUGCACAGGUUUCCGUUGCAUUCCUGUGCAGCACCAUGCUGUGUAAUGGUCCUUGAUUCACAGAAACACCUAAAAUUUAGA